rnacentral:rRNA from 1 species
CAGUAACACGUAGCUAACUUACCCUUAGGCCAGGGAUAUCCUCGGGAAACUGAGGCUAAUACCUGAUAGAAAAUGUUUUCUGGAAUGAGAUAUUUUUCAAACCCGAGCCUAAGGAGAGGGCUGCGGCUGAUUAGCUAGUUGUUGGUGUAAUGGACUAACAAGGCAAUGAUCAGUAAGGGCUCUUAGCGGAGAAGCCCUGAGAAGGAAUCUGAGACACUAUUCCUAGCCUUACGGGGUGCAGCAGCCGAGGAACUUUUACAAUGCUCGAAAGAGUGAUAGAAUGAGUCAGAGUGUUUUCUUUUAGAAAACUUUUGUCAGUUGCAAAAAGACUGGCGAAUAAGGACUGGGCAAGACCGGUGCCAGCCGCCGCGGUAAUCUCGGCGGUCCAAGUCGCAUCCACAAUUAUUGGGUCUAAAACAUUCGUAGCUUGUUUUAUAAGUCUCUUGUGAAAUCCUACAUCUUAAGUGUGGGGCUUGCAAGAGAUACUAUUUAACUUGGGACCGGAAGACGCAAAGAGUAUGAUGGAGGUAGUGGUAAAAUAUGUUAAUCUCCAUCAGACUAACAACAGCGAAGGCACUUUGCGAGUACGGAUCUGACAGUGAGGAAUGAAGGCUAGGGGCGCAAAAGGGAUUAGAUACCCCUGUAGUCCUAGCAGUAAACCCUGCUCACUAAACAUUAGUACCUCCUCGAGAGGUAUUAGUGCUGUAGAGAAGUCGGAGAGUGAGCUACCUGGGAAGUAUAGUCGCAAGGC